rnacentral:rRNA from 1 species
UAUAACAUAGCAUUAUUGCAUCAGAUCCCAUUAGAACUUUGUAGUUAAGUGUGCUCAGGCUAGAGUAGUAGUGGGAUGGGUGACUUCCUGGGAAGUCCUAGUGUUUUAC